UUAAGAAAACUAGGGGUCCAACGAAAAUGAAAGAUAUUGCUGUGGAGCCUGGAAGUCAAAUUCAUGUUGAAUUUACUGAUAAAGGUGAACCAUGUGGUGAGGGCUCAGUUAGUUUGUCUUCUUAUUUAGGCCCACUUGUACGAGAACACGUACCUGUAACACUCCACGAUUGGAGGAAGCUUGGUGAUGACAUAAAAGUAGUUUUGUGGAAAUCAAUUCAGGUAUUAUGUUCCAUUACUCUAGCCUCACUCUGACAUACAAGUUAUUCAUACUAGCAUUUUAUAAUUUUGUUAUAUUGCUGCAUUACUUUGCUAAUGCUUUCUAAAAUAUUAGGUCGGUGAUCUCUAUUAUAAAUGACAAGUUUGGCUAUUUCAUACAAAUUACCUCUAGCUUUCUUUAUUUCUUUUAUUAAAAUGUCUUCUAGCUAAUUGUAUAUAAUCUUCAGGCAAGAUUUGACUUGGAGGAGGAAUGGUAGAAGGCUGUCAUAUUUAAAUCGAUGGGAUGUAUAUGGAGGGCCUCAAAGUCAAGGUUAGUGAGCCAAAUACAGGAGGCCAAAAACAAAGGAGAAAGACUUCGACUCCAACUUAAGAACAUUCAAAGUAGAGCAGAGUGGAAAAGGUUCAUCCGUGCAAAAACUAGUCCAGCAUUUAAGGAGAGGGUGAAUGUAGUUGAAAGUGAUUUGCCAUCAUCCUCAACAACUAAUGUGAGAGAAGAUGCUCUGUCUAAAGUCUUAGGACACGAUAAACCUGGACGACUAAGAGGAAUGGGAAGAGGAAUGACCAUCAGCAAAUUGGCAUUCUUUCAGACUAAGGACAAGUAUGUGGCUAAGAUGCAAGAGCAACAAAUUAACAUGCAAGACAGGAUAAAUCAUUUGGAGAACUUGGUCAAUAAAUUAGUGAAAAAUAAGAUUCAACAAAGUGAGGAAGGGGAGAAAACAUCUCCAAUGAGCGUCAACACCAACUCAUUGAAUAAGUGCAAGCUACUAGAUUGGAGUGGAACAGAGGACAUUGUUGCUGAAGGUCGUUGGGUUUCAAGUGAUCCAGAAGAGUCUGUCAAUGAAAUUCCCUUGGCACCUAAUGCAAUGAAAGUCUUGGUUGAUAUCUCAAAUAAACCAGAUGCUUUUCUUUGGAGGCCUACAUCUAAUAUGUUUUGUUUUCAACAUGCUCAAGGUAAAACAAUAGCAUGGCCUGCUGACAGAGUCAUUUUUCAAAUGGAUCAGCAGUCUGACGAACAAGACAAUUUAUCUAUGCCUUCGGUAAAAUAUUCAUAUCCUCUUAUUUUUUUCUUAAGUUGUUGUAUCCUUUAUUAUAUAACUAGUAUGUUGUGACUCUUGUAUAUUCAUUGUUGAUAGAGUUCGUACAACAACUCAAGGAACAAGUGCAAAUUAUUUGAUUGGACUGGAAAAGAUGAAAUAGUUGCAAAAGAACGUUGGCAUUCAAGUGAUCCAAAAGCGUUGGUAAAUGGUAUUCCUCUUGGACCUAAUGCCAUGAUAGUUUGGGUAGAUAUUCCAAAGAAUCAUGAAGCGUUUUUAUGGAGGCUUACAAUUGAUAUGACAUGCAUUGAAGAUGCUGUGAAUUCUGCUAUAGCAUGGCCUGCUAACAAAGUUGUUUUGGAAAAGAUAUCAGAAAGUCAAGAUGGUGAAAUUGCAUCCUCUCAUUCGAGUGUCAACUCCAAAUCAAAGAAAAGGUGCAAGUUGAUGGAUGUUAGUGGAUCAGGACAAAUAGUUGCUGAAGGACGUUGGUCCUCAAGUGAUCCAGAUCAGGUUGUUCAUUUUGUUCCCUUGGGGCCUAAUGCUAUGAGAGUUUGGGUAGAUACACCGAAAGUCCCCACUGCAUCCCUUUGGAGGCCAUCAUCUGAGCUGGAAAUUAUUGAAGAUGCUAUUGGUACUACAAUAGCAUGGCUAGCAGACAAAGUGGUUUUCUUUUAGAGCUCCGGUAUGCAUUUAAACUCUUAUGUGUAUAUUUCUUCCCAAAUAAUUUGUUAACAUUGACAAAAUUUCUCUAGCUAGUUGGUUCUCAAUAAGUUGUUGUAGGAAACUAAGUUAAUGAAGAAUGACUACUUGUUUGAUUGCCUUUGCUUUUUAUUUCUUAUUUUGUGAUAGUUCAGAGAUG